GCCAGUAUGCCAGUAUGCCAGUGUUACAGCGUCUAUUGGGGGAGGCCUCCCUCAAUAGUACGAUGCCGUGACCGCUGAGGGAGGCCCCCUCUCACGGCGCGAUGCCCGUGUUCGUUGGGGAAGGCCUUCUCCACGACACGAUGCGUGUUGAUGAUUGUUAAUGAUGAAGAAUGCGCUCAUGCUGUUUAUGAAUAUGGAAAUGUUUAAUGAGCAAAGGAUUUGAAAGAAACUUAUGCCUCUUAUGCGAAGUUGUGUUUUGUUGUUGAUAUUAUGUUAUAUGCUUGGCACUGCCC
rnacentral:lncRNA from 1 species